rnacentral:tRNA from 2 species
GCGGUCGUGGCCAAGUGGCUAAGACGAUGGACUAGAAAUCCAUUGGGGUUUACCCCUCACAGAUUCGAAUCCUGUCGACUGCG